AUUGAACGCUGGCGGUAGGCCUAACACAUGCAAGUCGAACGGCAGCACAGUAAGAGCUUGCUCUUACGGGUGGCGAGUGGCGGACGGGUGAGGAAUACAUCGGAAUCUACUUUUUCGUGGGGGAUAACGUAGGGAAACUUACGCUAAUACCGCAUACGACCUACGGGUGAAAGCAGGGGAUCUUCGGACCUUGCGCGAUUGAAUGAGCCGAUGUCGGAUUAGCUAGUUGGCGGGGUAAAGGCCCACCAAGGCGACGAUCCGUAGCUGGUCUGAGAGGAUGAUCAGCCACACUGGAACUGAGACACGGUCCAGACUCCUACGGGAGGCAGCAGUGGGGAAUAUUGGACAAUGGGCGCAAGCCUGAUCCAGCCAUGCCGCGUGGGUGAAGAAGGCCUUCGGGUUGUAAAGCCCUUUUGUUGGGAAAGAAAAGCAGCAGGUUAAUACCCCGCUGUUCUGACGGUACCCAAAGAAUAAGCACCGGCUAACUUCGUG
rnacentral:rRNA from 1 species